CGCGGCCGGGCCGGGGCGGGCCGGGACGGGGGCGAGGGCUUCGUCCUCCUUCGUCCCCCUCCUCCUCCUCCUCCUCCGCCUCCCCUCAGCGCCGGGGCCGCGGCCGGUUCUGUCAGCCAGCGCUGCCCCGCGGAGCUGCGGGCCGCACGGAGCCGCCUCCGUUGCGGCCGCUGUCGCGAUCUGCGGCUCGCUGCCUUGCGUUUUGGGGAAGUCUGGCCUCACGGGGUGCAGGCGUGCUGGGGCCCGGCUCGGGGCUUUGCCCGGCCGUGCCACCCGGUAGCUGAAGCGCCAGGGUCUCCCUGGGCUUCUUGCGAAAGCCCGGGCCCCUCGGUGCCUUUGGCACAGCAGGAGCAGUGACACCUGCUGAAUCAUCGACGCUGUUUCCUGCCAUGCUGCUGUUUUCCUUGGAGGUUUUCCAUGCGGCUGUUGCUUGCGAUUUCAUGUGCUCGGGUUAGGAGGCUACCGAUCUUAGAAGAGCUGCAGUCAGAGUGCAAGGCAGGUGUCUGUAAAGGAUAGGGUCUUCUGCUUGUGAAGGAGGUGUGCGUUGCUACGCUAAAAUGCUCCAAAAGAUGAAGCUCCCUGAAGGCGAUUUAGAGCUGCUUUCAUUUUCUAUAGGGUUUGUUUGAAAUGUAUUCUGAACUGCCUUUAAAUGUUAUUUUUCUCGCGUGUAGUUGGUAACAGCAACCCAAAAACCGUUAACGUGUGUGAGAAUGCCACCGAUGUCUAGAUAAAGUGCUUGAUAUCGUUCCUUAUGGAUGAGCCAAUAGACACUGUGUGGUUAUCAGGGCAAACCAAAAGAUGAACUAAACACUGCCGAGCAUAAAGUGUAGCGCCAACACCUUGGCUGAAUAUCAGACUUUCGCUCCACCUAGUUGCUGUAAAAAGACAAAGUGAUGUUUUUUUUCUUUGAAGUUUUUUUCCUUGAGUCUGUUGUAGUUUUUUUUUUUUUUUUUCCUGUCAGUAUUUGGCUUGUAAGAAUCCCAGAUGGAAGUUUUAUCGAGGCCUUCACUCCUGCUGCCAGAGGUGUUUCUCUCUUGUCUUCACUGGUCUUCUGGCAGCCGCAGCGCUGCAUGCUAUCUGCCACUCUGUCCGCAAGCUUAAUCUAGGCGUUUCUCCCAAAGGGCAAUAUUAGAAGAGCAAAAGCUUGCUGAGAUUUCCGUUGGGCUACUUGGAAUGCUAAGUGGUGAAAUGUGCAUCGAACCUUGUUCGAGGUUUUAUUAUUACGAUUGGUUCACAGUUGCUCUCCACUAAUGUGUAUGCAGACUGCAAGAUGGGAAGAUGGGCAGAAUACAGUUUUCAAUAGUAGCAUGUUUAUCAGCUUGUGUUUUUUUAAACUAAUUGAACACAAAUGUUGUGCUCUCUGCUCUACACUCAGCUAUAAAUUAAAAAACAAACAAAAAACUGUCCUGAAUUACAUGUGUUAAUGUAUACAUCCUGUUGGGACUCUGCUUCUUGACAAGUGGAGAUCUCACAAAGUUGUAUUCUGUGAUUAAAACUUGAGUAAAAUUUAUGGUCGAAA